AUUUUUUUCAGAGGGAAGAUGAUGAUAGUUACAGGAUUCAAGUAAGUAAGAUUCGGUAUUAUCAUUAUUUUGACCG
rnacentral:tRNA from 1 species